rnacentral:misc_RNA from 1 species
UUUUCAAGGCCUCUUCUUCUGCAGACGGCGCCGUUGCUGUUGCUUGCUGCUGCUGCUGCUGCGUGGCCGCAAUCAUGGCGGUCUUUUUUUAAGAAACCCAAGAACACCUAGAUCGAUUCGAUUGCAGAUCGAGCUACACAGAGAGAGAUGGCGCAAGAACCGAUCUAAGAAUAAAAAAAGAGGAAGAAAUGGAAGAGCCGCUGCCGCC